AUCGAACGCUGGCGGCAGGCUUAACACAUGCAAGUCGAGCGGUAACAGAGAGAAGCUUGCUUCUCUGCUGACGAGCGGCGGACGGGUGAGUAAUGCCUAGGAAUCUGCCUAGUAGUGGGGGAUAACUUGCCGAAAGGUAAGCUAAUACCGCAUACGUCCUACGGGAGAAAGGCGGGGACCUUCGGGCCUUUCGCUAUUACAUGAGCCUGGGUCGGAUUAGUUAGUUGGUGGGGUAAUGGCUCACCAAGACCGCGAUCCGUAACUGGUCUGAGAGGAUGAUCAGUCACACUGGAACUGAGACACGGUCCAGACUCCUACGGGAGGCAGCAGUGGGGAAUAUUGGACAAUGGGGGGAACCCUGAUCCAGCCAUGCCGCGUGUGUGAAGAAGGUCUUAGGAUUGUAAAGCACUUUAAGUUGGGAGGAAGAGCAGUUUACUAAUAUUUGACUGUUUUGACGUUACCGACAGAAUAAGCACCGGCUAACUUCGUGCCAGCAGCCGCCGUAA
rnacentral:rRNA from 1 species